GCAGAUGUAUUUCCCUCCUUGUGAGAUAACUCUAAAUGAUUCUUCAACAUUUUCGGUCUGAAGAGAAGUUUUUCCAGAAGAGUCUGUCGUCUGUCUGAACCACUGAUAUUUGAAUCCAGCAGGAUCCUCCACAGAACAUAAAAGUCAGAGUUAUUGGACUAACAUGACUAACAAUCACUUUCUCUUCACACUUUGGAUGUUGUUUAAGAACAUAAAGACUGUGUAUUUCCCUCCUUGUGAGAUAACUCUGUUUGAUUCAUCAACAUUUUCCGUCUGAAGAAGAGUAGUUCCUGAAGAGUCUGUCGUCUGUCUGAACCACUGAUAUCUGAAUCCAGCAGGAUCCUCCACAGAACAUGUCAGUG